CCAGUGGAACUCUCGCGCUUGGAAGAGGGAACCCCUCGCGAAUGGAGGAAGAAGAGUGGCACUAACACCACCUGCGGUGAUCCCAUUCGUCUGUUGCAACAACGUCGGCGCUGGCGAGAUCAGUCACAGGGGACGGGGGUUGUGCUAGUGUCAAAUAUGGGAUAAAGGAAAACCCUGGGCGGUGAAGAAAGAAGAGAAAGGUCGCGCUUGACGCUGGCAAUGGCUCCGGUGACUGCCUACGACGCCGUCCAGCCCCCUGUGGUGCCCCGCGUCUUCGCCGGUGACUAGAUGAAGGUCAGUGCAGCAGGG
rnacentral:lncRNA from 1 species